GAUAAGCGCUGGCGGCGUGCCUAACACAUGCAAGUCGAACGUCCUCUCUCGCAAGAGAGAGGGAGUGGCGGACGGGUGAGUAACACAUGGGUCACCUACCCUUAAGUGAGGAAUACCGGCGAGAAAUCGCCGACAAGACCGCAUAGGCUCUCUCUUUUGCAAGAGAGAGCAAAGCUUCGCAAGAGGCGCUUGAGGAUGGGCCUGUGGCCGAUUAGCUGGNGGUAGGGUAAUGGCUUACCAAGGCGACGAUCGGUAGCUGGUCUGAGAGGACGAUCAGCCACACUGGGAUUGAGAACGGCCC
rnacentral:rRNA from 1 species